GUUACCUGUCUCUCUGCUGACCUCCCCCUCUGAGCAGGGCAGACAGUCAAAGCAGCAGAUUGGUCGGCCCUUCUGUGCCGCCUUCCAGGUGCCAGGGGGGCAGGGAGUGCUGCACACAGACACGGGCACCUGGAGGAGUGUCCUGGCAUCAUUAGCAUGCUAGCGUAGCAUAUCUUAGCAUCAUUAGCAUAUAUCCUGUUAUUAUUAGCAAUAGCAAUGCCAGCAUCACUAAUCCUGACAUUGCUAGCAUCAUACAGUAUGUACUGGCAUCAUUAGCAAUGCGAACCUUAUAUACUGGCAUCAUCAGUGUGGCACACAGGAUAUGUAUGUAAUUGCCCACUUGCUUAUAUGUAGCAUUUUUAUUGUGAGUUACAAAGGGCUCACCGCGGUUAUAAAAGCAGUGGGCUCGUGCUGCGUCAGCGUUCCUCAGUUGGCGGUUAACAUCUAACUUGAGAAGCCACUGACGACCAGCCGACUCUCUAUUUUCAUUAUUCUUUCAGGUGAAACUGGCCCCCCGAUCCCUCAGAUGUCAAAAAAUGUCCGACGGUGUCAAAUUCCGCCCCACCCUGUGGGGUCACGUGCCAGUUGAUGAUGUCAUAGGAAGCAGGUGGAUCUCCAUUCUGGUCAAAGUGGACGGGGUCACCCACAUGUGUGGUGAAGUUCACACCUCUCAGGUGCUGGAGGUUGGGACACAGGUCUCCAGGUGGGCAGGCCAGCAUGCCAUGCAGAGCGUGGGCGAUGGCGUACACGGCCUUGUACACGUUAUAGGUGCCCCUCAGCUGUGACACGUCCGCGUACAUACUCUCCC